rnacentral:lncRNA from 1 species
CUCAGUCGGGCUCAGCGUCCUCAGAGUCGGGCUCAGCGUCCUCAGAGUCAGGCCCAGCAUCCUCAGAGUCAGGCCCAGUGUCCUCAGAGUCGGGCCCAGCGUCCUCAGAGUCAGGCUCAGCGUCCUCAGAGUCAGGCUCAGCGUCCUCGGAGUCGGGCUCAGCAUCCUCGGAGUCAGCUCAGUGUCCUCAGAGUCAGGCCCAGCGUCCUCAGAGUCAGGCUCAGCGUCCUCAGAGUCGGGCUCAGCGUCCUCAGAGUCAGGCCCAGCGUCCUCAGAGUCGGGCUCAGCGUCCUCAGAGUCAGGCCCAGCGUCCUCAGAGUCGGGCUCAGCGUCCUCAGAGUCCGGCCCAGCGUCCUCAGAGUCAGGCUCAGCAUCCUCGGAGUCAGCUCAGUGUCCUCAGAGUCAGGCCCAGCGUCCUCAGAGUCAGGCUCAGCGUCCUCAGAGUCGGGCUCAGCGUCCUCAGAGUCAGGCCCAGCGUCCUCAGAGUCGGGCUCAGCGUCCUCAGAGUCAGGCCCAGCGUCCUCAGAGUCGGGCUCAGCGUCCUCAGAGUCAGGCCCAGCGUCCUCAGAGUCAGGCCCAGCGUCCUCAGAGUCGGGCUCAGCAUCCUCAGUCGGGCU